UUAUUUCCUCGGUAGUCACAACCACUUGCAGUAAUUUGUAGUCCCCCAAGUAAACAAAAAAUAGUAGAAAAUAUUAUUCUAACAAUUUUUAACUACUGUAUAACUUAUUCCCCUCUUUCAGAAUUCAUUUGCUAUACUUUAUACUCCUCUACUAAGAUGUGUUUCAAAGUACUUCAUAGAAAGGCUAAACAAAACAACAUCCUAAACUUGUGCCAUUUAUUGUGACAAUCUGUCAACUUAUUGUGACAGGCGUAACAGAUUAGUAGCAAAGUCUGAGUAGCAAAGGCUGGCGGACUGACUUUUUAAUAAAUGAUACUCUUGCUUGGCAACGUUUUUAAGAGUUAUCAGAACUAGAAAGACCAUUUUCAAAAUAAUUAAAAACUCCUUAAAGCUGCAAUAUAAGUAGUGUUGCAGUCUUGGGGAAAGAGGCAAAUCAUAGCUUUAUCAUCCACACAAGGUUGCAGAGGAGACAUGAACUAACUUACAUGCAGGAAAUUUGGGAUGUAGAUUUCUUCCUGAUUCAGUACAGGUUGAUUGGUAGUUUGAGUCAGGGGUGGGCUGCAGAUGAUUCUACUGAGUCACUCUUAAAAAUCAGUUUCCCAGCUUCUCCUUCUGAAGGCAGUCUGUCAGGACUUGGCCAAGAAAUCAGAUCACUGUUCUCAUUUCCUAUACUGUGAGGUGUGGGUUUGGAGUCAGAGAGUCAUAGAAUAUCCUGAGUUGGAAGGGACACACCAGGAUCAUCAAAUCCAACAUCUGGCCUUGCACAGGACACCCCAAGAGUAACAGCAUGUGCUUGAGAGCACAGUCUAAACACUCCCAGUGGAGGUGUGGAUAGGCUGGGGGAAAAAAGCCAGUAUUAGAUACGUACUCCUUUGGCAAAGAAGAGGUACUUUAGCUAUCACUGCAUAGGUGAAGUGCUCAGACAGACAUAGGCCAUGCAAAAAAGGACUAUUUUGCUCAAAUGUAUGGAAACCACUAACCUGGAAACUUCUUGUUGGGAAACAGAUUUGCCAGUAAGAAGUUUCUGGAAACAAAAUUGACAGGCAGCCUCUGGCUGGCUCUGCUCAUGACAUCAUGCACCAUCAAAGGCCAAAUCCGCCAGAAAUUAGUCUAUAACCAUGAAGAUCUUAGCCAAAACUCAAAAUACUUCUAAAAAAGUCUGGAAAAGUGCAAACCAAAGUCAAAAACAUGCAGAGUGUAUUUGAAAGAUAUCAACAAUAUCCCAGACAACAAAUUUUCCAGAAUUCACUAGCCACAUACUUGAGUAGUGAGAUAGUGCACCAAUAAUAGCCAGAGACUGAAGCAAGGAUGUCCAAACAGUACUGGAGGUAAACUCACAGAUCUGUUUUUUAUUUUCCUGAAAAAAAAAAAGCAAUGAAACAGAUUAAAGAUUAGUACAGUUCAUAACAAAAAGCCAUGAUUAUAAAUUGAAAGUGCACAAUACUUCUUAAAAUCCUAUUUUUCAGUAAACGCUGGAUUUAUACAUUGUGACAAUCAUUUAAUCAGAUGACAGCCAGAUGAAGAUGGAUCAAUUAGUCAUACAGAGGCUGUACUGGAACCAGGAAAUAUGAAAAGACUUAAGAAAAAAGAGAUAGAAAUAAAAGCUGCAUAUAAAGAUAGUCAAACAAUUAUGUCUGUUUUCAUUCAGAAGAAGGAAGUGUGAGGAUAGAGGAAACAUUUUAAUCUUGUGCUGUGUAAACAUCAAACAAGAUACUUCAAGAGAAGAAAAUUACUUGCAAAAAUUCAGUGAAAUUCCACAAUUCAAGAAAAUGGCCUUUCAAGUAUCCUUUUCUAAGCUUAAACUUAAAAUAAAUACAACAGCAAGAAGUCAUAAAAUGCUAUUAAAAGAUGCAACCAAAGGGUUUAAGGUUCUCUGCAUGCUCUUUUCUUUUUUUCCUGGACCCCAAAGCCAGACAAAAGCCCAGCUCAGGCAGACAAAGAGAAAGGGAAAAUAAUUGUCUGACUUAAUGUACUUUCCACAUUCAGUAGAGAACACCAAAAGUUGUUGGGUGUUUUUCUGUAGAUGAAGACAAGUGUUGAUAUUUCUAAUGAUGCACAGGGUACCACUGGCUCUUAUAUUCAUGCCCCAGGAAGGCUGACAGCACCCUCAGUACUUCCACCUUGCACAAAGCUCUUCUCAGGUCACAGGAACAGCUGUCAUUAAAAUUUUGAGUUUUUCUCAUUAAUAUGACAGGGAGUCUGGAGUCAAGAGUCCAGAAGAGAAAAUGAGAAAAAUAAUGCAUUUUUGAGCUCUCUAAAAUGUGCUAAAAUAAAACAAAUAUUCCUAACAUUCCCAUAAGAUUUUAAUUCAGAAGGAGUGGCUUAUCUAGAAUUGUCUCCACUCUAACUCAUCUCUUAGGAAAACUAACUCUCUGUCUUGACUUUAAAGGAAGUACCUAAAGGACAUUUAGAAUAUAUUUCAUUUUUAUUCCUGUGUAUUAAGCCACUCACAAACUCUGUAUAUACAGAAAUGCCAUUCUAUAAGAUAGUUCACAAAGUCUGCAGAAAUAAAAUAAUUCACCAGUAAAUCUGACAGACUUCAUCAGAAAGUUUGUAAGUCUAUUUCACUAUGUCUGAUAUAACCUUGUACAUGCAAAUGCUCACUUAUAUGCCAUCCAGUGAAAAUUCAAAGAAGCAGUUGUUUCACAAAAAAAAAAAAAAAAAAAGUUAUACUGCUGUUCAAAUGUCCAUUUACUAUUAUGAAGUUUUCUGAUUCUGUUCUAUAUGCUACAUUUUUCACAAGACUUACCCUGGAGCCAUAAAACCUGCAAGGCUGCCAAAGGAGUUUCCACUUCAGCAGGUCUUCAGAAGAAACCUAAAUGUUGCUUGUACGCAUAGUAAUGUAUAGAGUUAGAAUCAGACAGAACAUAUUGGCCAAAUUUUGUCCAUGCUUUCUUACUUUCACAUCUGGAAGAUAUGAUGCUGUGGGGUUUAACUCAAGGCAUGAAUGCUGUUUGAGUGUUUUGAGAAGAUGGCUGAAAAAUUACUUACCCCAUCCUGAUUUGUCUCUCUUCUCCUGGAAAAAAGAUAAUUUCUUCAGCUCUACGAUAUUUCCAGUGUGUAUACAUGUAUGAAAAUAGCAUAUUUCUUGAGAAAUUCUAAUAAUCAUGAAUGCAAUUUGGAUUUAAAGUUCUCUUUAGAAAAAAGACUGAAAAUUCGAUUUGUUUAGUCCCCUACAAAAAACAGCCUACAGAUAUUAGCAAAGUUUAAUCUUGAGAGAUAUCACUUUGGAUCCUAUUAUGAAAAAGAAAAUAUAACCAGUUGGGUUAUUAUUACUCUGCUUAUUCUCAAUUUCACUCUGCAUCUUCAGUUUCAUAGAAUGGUUUGUGCUUGAAGAUCACCUACUUCCAAUGCCCCUGACAUGGGCAGGAAUGGCAUUCACUAGAUCAGGUUGUUAAGGGCCCCAUCUAACCUGGCCUUAACCACUUUGAGGGAUGGCAUAUACACAGCUUCUUUGGGCAACCUGUUACAGUGCCUCGCCACCCUCUGAGUAAAGAAUUUCCCCAUAAUAUCUAAAUUAAACAGCCUUCUCUCAGUUAAAACCAUUGGCCCUUGUCCUGUUACUAUCUGCUCACAUAAAAAAAGUCCCUCUCCCUCUUUUUAUGCACAUAGAGAAUCUGAGAGUUGCACAGCAAUUAAAGCUGUCCUUCUGAUACAUCUAUGUACUUCAAUAUAAAUAAAAGGAAAGAAAACUGCCUGAGCAGAUGGAGCAAAAGUACAUUCAGAAGUGAAUGAGCCAUAGCAUGGAUAAAUUUAAGUUAAAGUAAGAAAGACCAUGGAAAAACAGGGAAGAGAGACUGUGCAGGAAAGUUCACCAUUGCAGAGACAUUUACUUCCCUGUCCUUUUUAGUCAACCUGAAAGCAUGGCAGGGCUGACACAAAGUUGUUCUGACAAUUUUCUAGAUUCUCCUGUUAGAUCACUGCUAAGUGGUACUGGCAAUGUCAUAUUUCAGGAUCUGGAAGCAGAGCAGCACACAACUAGACUCAAGGCAUGCAGCACAAAGCUUAAGGUAAAAGGAAACUGAACCAGUUUGCACCUCCACCAAAUACUAUCAAGUGCCAAUAGCUAGUUGCUUGGCUGAGGACUGGGAGUCUGGGCACAAGGACAAACCAGUGGGGCUGAGCUGAUGCAUGGCCCACAAGUGAUGGGGAAGCCCUGGCACCCCAACACCACAAUCUUAGGCUAAUGGCUGUGCAAUGCCAGAGCUGGACAUCAGUGUAGACAGACAAGAACUGGGAAGAAGGCUGGAUUGCAAUGCCCUAACGGCCCUGACAUUAACUUCACAAGAUUCAUACUCUGCCCAUAUUGCCCUUUCUGAUCAAAUAUCUGAGAUGUUCAGAGAACCUGCAGAACAAAUGGAAAAGGUGCUAAAAGGAGAAAAGGAUUAAUAAAGAGGAGAAGAAAGAGCAGAACAAAAAUGCCAGCACUAUGGCUCUUAGCCAUUUGGUAGAGAUGUUACUAAUCAUUGAUAAAAUUUAUUAUUUAUGAGCUUCAGUUAUGAUGGAACUGGAACUGAUCAUCAUACUCCUUAAUUGGUGACAACAAGGCAUUCUUAUAAGAAACUAUCUCUGGCAGUUGUGGUUACAACACAGAUAAUGUACUACAUACUACUUCAACACGUCUGCUUAGUGCUGUGCAGGAGAUGAGAUCACUAUUCACCUGUUUGGCCUGUGGGACAUGGUAGGGGUAUUCUGUGACAGCAAUUUGUUCUUUGGCAAUCUUCAUUGUGCUGCUGGCUGCUUCCUGCACAAGGCUGUUUUCUGACUGUACACUGUCUUCCAACACUGCUCUGUGGCAAUCAAUAGGCCUGUGCUAAAAGACAGCAAUAGUGCAAUUAACUUCUGACAAUUCUGACAUGCUAAAACAAGGAUUAUUAAUAUUCCUCAGGAUAAUCACUCUAACCUAGUUUAGCCAAUCAGCCCUGUAAAUCUGGCAGUAAAUAGCAAACCUUACGUAAAGCAAUAGAAAAUAUGGAAUUAAAAUAAAAUAAAUUGGUGGUAUUUAAUCAUACUUUGGAACACUGAAAUUCUUGCAUUAAUUUUAAAGUGGGCAAUGGCACCUAGUGUGUAAGGAUGAUGGCGUAACAAAUCUCUCACUCUCUGAAACUGAGAUGCCUGCACAAAAGGCUGUGCUGUGCCAUUAAACAACAUGAGGUUCUGUUUUGUGGCUGAACUCUUUAGCUCACAUUUUAUUUUUUCCCCUUCUUUUGUUUUCCUUUUUUUUUUUUAUUUUAACUUGGGAGUAUUUAAUCCAAUUGUUUACUAUGACAUAAUUCAUAGCAAAAGUCAAAGAAUCCUACUGAGUUAUCUCUGCAUUAAGUUACUAUGAGAAAUGUAGAAAUUUCCUUUUUCCUUCUUGAAAAAAUGAACAAUAUAAAGGGAUUGAUAAAAUCUGUUUCCACUCAUCAAUGCCUCAGCCUAAAAUUACAGGUUUCUUCUGUAAUGAUCUUGGUAAUGUGGUUUGGAGCACAGGUUGUUGUCAUGACGGAACAUCUAUAGCUACAGGUAAAGCAGUAGAGGUUGCCUGUACAUGUUACCUGAACACAGCUCAAUCACUAGCUUGUGAUGAUCCUCUGUAUUUAAUCAUCUGUGUGAUUCCUGUAGCAAGUGAAGCAGGAGGUCUGGAAAUUACCUGCCACAAAAGAAAAAGAGCAAAAAAAGAUGAACAGUUCAAUACAAGUUUCAUAAUGACUACGUAUCUUGAGAUUCAGAAGGAUGCUGCCAGGUCUGUGCAAAAGAAUGACAAAUGAAUGGUAUUUAACAUUUUGCUUGAACAGUUUUCCCAUCCAGAAAACUAUCUGAAAUACAAUAAUGAGAAAAGCAGAACUGUAAAGCAUUUUAUAAGGCUGAUUAUCUUUCUAGGACAUACAAUCUGAUAAAUGCUUUGUUUAUCCAGAGUAAAUUCAGUAGACAAAAAGAUUAAUUGAACCUCUUUUAUGCUACUUGUACAUCCUCUCAUAGAGAAAGUAACUUACUUUUUUUUUUUCUUACUUACUCUUGCACAAGAACCUGCAAUACACCAGCAAGAGCAAAAUUACUUUACUAAAUUUAGUAGUUCAUAAAUCAUAUGGGACACCAAUCCAUCCAGUGGUUUGUUGUUUGGGGUUUUUUUCCUUCUUUCAUAUAUCCAAAUAAAAUAGGCGUGCAUGCAGCAGAUGUACAGUAUUUGCUUUUGUGUUUCUCCUCUCCCAGGGUACAAGAGGCAUCUGUCAGCUUACUCGUGCUCUCACCCCUACUCUCUCUCCCUCUCUCCCCAUAAACAUAGUGCAUGUGGGUGAGCAUACACAUACAUGUGCAUGUAUGUACAUUCAUUUUUGACUCUUCAGUUAAUAGACAAGAAACUGCUAUGACUUCAAGGCACAAAGCCUUCUGCUUUGGAGGAGCUGUGUGACCUGCCUCAUGUAAUUUGCUGCGGAUUAAAUUUACCAUCUCACCUACACUAACAAGGUGAAUGAUCUUUUAAAAAUUAUGCUCUGCAUGUCUUUUCCCCUAUGCACUUGUUCAUCUCAAUGCCUUGGACAGCAGCUUGUCAUUUAGUUGUGACUUCUGUGCAUAACACACUGAAUGAGUAUCUGAUCUCUAAUCACUACAGGUUUUUUUAAAGAUAAAUGGUAUUAUUGUGUUGCCUUUAUAAAGGGCAACCAGGGACCUGGUUCAGGUGGCAGCACGGCAGCCUGGUCUUGCCCAGGCCACUCGGGCUAAUCAACACACGCAGAUACCAAUGUGGCAGACAGUCGAAAAGCCUUUAUUAUCUCAUCUCAUGGGUUUAAAUAGUCUUGGGGGUCUUUGCUACGUCAGAGGGGGGUUGGGGGGUCUCAGGGGUUAGUCGGGAGUGGAAAUUUACCGGGGCAGGUGUGGCUACACGCUUCUGGGGCUUCAGGGGUUAAUAGCUAACGUGGGGAAGGGAGAAGGGGAGGGGUCUAUCUUUCCGUGACAUCCCGUGAUUUUCCGCUUCGCCUGUCCCUUACCUACCACAUCUCCCCCCUCCUUAUCACAUACAAAAUGAGGUAGUCAUAGAUAUAGGCACUGGAGUGAGGCAAAAAGUUGUGACUUGUUAAGGAAAGGGUGGUUCGGUAAAUCUGGGUAAGUUUUUCAAGGCAGGUGUUGAAGGCUUUAGCUACUGACCGUGUUUGCAGUUUUUGGUUUACAGCAUUUGUUGGUGGCCUAUGAACAGAAUGUUUGCCCUUUCUAGACGGGCCUGAAAAAAUGAGACUAGUUUGUUCAGCAGGCAUGGUCCUAUGGUAAUAGCUAAAAGCAGUAUUGCCAGUGGACCUACCAGGGUGGAAAUUAAAGUGGUGAGCCAAGGUGAUUGAUUGAACCAGGAUUCAAACCAGCUCUGCUGGGUCUCCCUGUCUCUCUUUCUCUGAGCCAGUCUGUCUCGGAGUUCCGCCAUGGAGUCUUUAACGACUCCCGUAUGAUCUGCAUAAAAGCAGCACUCCUCUUUCAAGGCUGCACACAGUCC
rnacentral:lncRNA from 1 species